GUCUUUUUAUAAAAUUGUAAAGUCUAAUCUGCUCACUGAUUUAUUAAAGAGCCGCAGUAUUUUGACUGUGCAAAGGUAGCAUAAUCAUUAGUUUUUUAAUUGAAAACUGGAAUGAAAGAUUGAACGAUAAACUUACUUUCUUAAUUUUAAAAAUUGAAUUUAAAUUUUAAGUUAAAAUUCUUAAAUAAUCUUAAAAGACGAGAAGACCCUAUAGAUUUUUAUUAAUUUAUAAAUUAUUUAAAUAAAUGAUUUAAAAUUUAAUUUAAUUGGGGUGAUUUUGUAAUUUAAUUAACUUAAUUUUUAAAAACCAUAAAUAAUUGAAUUUUUUGAUCUAAAUUUUUUAAAUGAAAGAUUAAAUUACCUUAGGGAUAACAGCGUUAUAUUGUUUAAGAGUUCAUAUCUAAAAUAAUAAUUGCGACCUCGAUGUUGAAUUAAGAAUUAUACAGAAGUAGAAAUUUGUAAAAUUAGUCUGUUCGACUAUUAAAAUCU
rnacentral:rRNA from 1 species